rnacentral:lncRNA from 1 species
CCCACGGCAACACCAGAUCCUUAACCCACUGAGCAAGGGCAGGGAUCGAAAGGGAUAGAACCUGCAACCUCAUGGUUCCUUGUCGGAUUCAUUAACCACUGCACCACGACAGGAACUCCUCAUGGCUGAAAUUUUAAAUGAAAUUAUAAGGUCUCUGAUUACAUCUGUCUAUAUGUUUAUGUGUAUCUAUGUUCUAGAUAUGUAGUAUUCUAUACCUCUAGAUAGUAUUACCAAAAUUAAUUUGUAAAAGAGCUCUACAAUUGACUUAAACAAAUGCUCACAUAUAUUUAGUAUCCAUAAAAAUUCUCCAAAUUAUGAUAGAAAAUAACCCAAAUGCCUUUUGGGUUCACAUGAUUUGGGAAAAUAUUUUGUAUUAAAGUUUAUUGUGUGAUUCAAAUAGAUAUGUAUUAGAAUUAUCAGCCUUUAAUAUAAACAUACUGCUUUUAUUCUACCUAUGUUUACUAGUUAAUAAAUCAAUGUCAAAAAAUUUGUCAAUAAGAAAAUUAACAUACUAUGAUGAAAUUUUCAUAAGGAAGUAAAACCUAAUUGUUGAAGACAAGUAAAUUAAAUAGAUGCAGGUAGGGUAAAAAGUUUAUAGGUAAACAUUUAAAAUAAUUCCCCCAAUUAUUUUUGGUAACCUGAAACCUUAAAGUUUUGCUAGGUUAAGUUAAAUGAUGAGUCAAGUUAAAUUCAUGGAAUAUCCAGAUCAUUUCCAAGUAAAAUAAAAUAUUGAAACAUUAACUAUUAAUCAGAAUUUUACAUUCUUUGCUUCCUUUUACAGAGGAAUUAAAGAUAUUUUAGAUUGUUAAUAAGCAUGUUCUAUACCACCCUGAGAAUUUUUUUGUAAGAAAGCACAUAAUUCUAAGAAAUCAUGUAAAUAUUUAUAAGUCUGCUAAUCCAUAGAAUGCUAAUGUAAAAGACAGUUCAUAAUUGGCUGUGUCUUAGUUUACACUAGAAAUAUGAGGUUCUUAAGGGUUAAAAAUGCUAAUAUGUGUAAUUAAAACUACUAGAAAUAAGGGAAAGGAAUUAUAUGUGUGGUCAGAACUGCCUAAGAUUGGAAUACAUUUAAUUAAGUAAAUGAGUUUUAAUAUCAAAAGUAAGCUGGUACAAAAUUAGAAUUUUGUUUUUCUCUCUGUUAAAAAAAAAAAAAGUUAUUUUUUACUAUUGGUCCACUCUUGAUAAUGAGAGAUUGCAAAAGGAUUUUGUUCACCUUUUAAAUAAUCUGCCUAGAAAAAACAGAGAUCUUGUGUCUUGUCAAAAUAAUCACUAUACUCCAUGUUGUGUUCAUCAGGUUUUUGAUUACUUAAGUAAGCCUAGUCUUUCCAAUAUUGAAAGAAUUAAAUUAAUCCCACAACCAUGUACCAUUCUUUAUUUGUCUGUGAAGUCUUUGUCACUUUGGUUAAAUAGGUAACUCAGCAUUGUUUCACAGUAACCUAUGAUUCUAUACGACCAAGUAUUUUAAAACCUUUUGAUAUUUUUGACAAACUUCCCGUAAAUCAAAUUCUAAAUAAAGUCUUUCUGAUUUCAAGAUAACUGUGGGCUAGUCCAGAGGGCCUAUGGGACAUCUCAAAAAGAUUUGUUUUCUCUCUGUGUAAGAAGGGAGAUGUUGGCGCUCCUGUUGUGGCUUGGCAGUUAAGAGCCCAACAUAGUGUCAGUGAGGAUGUGGGUUCAAUCUUUGGCUUCAGUCAGUGGGUUGGGAAUCCAGGGUUGCUGGGGCUGUGGUGUAGGCCUGCAGCAGCAGAUAUGAUUCAACUCCUAGCCACUGUAACUUUUAUGCUGCAGAUGUGGCCUUAAAAAGAAAAAAGAAAAAAGGAGAGAGAUGUUAAAUUAGGCUUAGUUGACAUAUUAAAUUACAUGAGAAACUGCAUUUUUUAAGAAAUAAUACUAAACCAUCUUUAUGCUUUGUUUGUAUAGGUUAAAAGUGUAUUCCCUAAAUUAUGUAAAAUUCCUAGAAAUCUAAUAUGUCUUGAAUAAUGUUAUCAGACAUAAUUCCAGUUAUUAUCUUUAAAUGUUGUAUGCUAUGGAAAUAACCAAAUAUCUUUGUCCCUACCAUUAUAAUAAACUCUCAUUAAAUCUUUAAUAAUGGGCAUUUUAAGUCUUUUGUCCCUAACAGAGAGUUACUGUUUUCCGUUGCUUUGGCAAAAGUGUUCUUACAAAAGUACUACAUCUCCAAGGAGAUUCAUGGGAAGAACUUUUGACAAGUAUAGUUUUUUGAUAACUUUAAGAACAUAAAAAUGGGGAGUUCCCAUUGUGGCACAGUGGAAAUGAAUCCAACUGGUGUCCCUGAUGAUGCGGGUUUAAUCCAUGACCUUGCUUAGUGAGUCAGGGAUCUGGUAUUGCAGUGAGCUAUGGUAUAGGUUGCAGAUGAGGCCAGGAUCCUGCAUUGCUGUGGCUGUGGUGUAGGCCAGCAGCUGCAGCUCCAAUUCCACCCCUACCCUGGGAACUUCCAUAUGCUGUGGGUGUGGCCCUAAGAAGCAAAAACAAAACAAAACAAAACACAUAAAAAUGAACUGGGUGAGAAUUUCCAGAACUAAUGGAAAAAUUGGAUUUAAGCGGAGUAAGGAGUUGGGACUGAAUGAAAUGAGAAGGGAAAUGUUUCUUAAUGAUUUGUUUUUCCAGGUGUAAGCAAACCUUCUCUUUUCAAGUUAUCAGCAGCCUGGUAAGAUACGUCUUUGUGAACAAAUAUGAAAUAUUUACUUUUUCUACCUGCUUGUUCCCUCCGAAAUUUGGAAACUAUUGAGUAUUCUUUUCAUGGCAUAUAACAUAACUAUAUGCUAGUCAUUUAUCUAAGAUAAGCAAAAAUCUGGUCUCUUUGUAACAGGACAUAUUAGAAACAUUGGCUAUCUGAGGCUUUGGCUGGAGUAUCUGACUUGAGAGAAAGAUCACAGACUCAGAUAUGAGAAAGCUUUAGGACACUGCUUGAACUUUGGCUUGGUUUUCUGGCCUCAAGAAGUUCUUGAGUUCAAUCUGAGAUUAGUUAUAAAAAGUUCUAGGAAAGGAGUCUUAAGAAGAGCUUAUAAGGUCAAUCACUGUUCUUGCCACACUUGUAUAAAUAGUUAAGCCAAAUUUAAUGCAAAAAAAUCAGUUUUGCUGUGAUGUUCCUUGGAAAAAAAGAAACAGGGAUAAUUGCAGAGAAAAAAUUAUGUUUUCACCUUUGUGUAUACUAGACUGUAGUCUUAUUAAUUGUCUUUGAGGUUUUGUUAUUUACCUGUAAAUCUGAUUGGAUCCUGUUGCACCUGGGUUAACUGUUCUAGGUAAGUUGAAACUCAGUGAGGUAAGAUCACUGAGCAAGCCACUUGGUUUAAAAGGGUGAUUCCUUCAUGAAGGUCUUAAAAACUCACUUGAUUUUGAUUGGUUUGGGUCUGGGCUCUGAAAGAUACCCCAGAUAUUGGGAAUUACCUGGCUUAUAAUAGUCAUAGUAAUCUUCUGGUGCACUGUGUUUUCUCAAAGGCUUUCUUUAUUUUUUGGCCACACCCAUGUCAUGUGGAAGUUCCCAGGCCAGGGAUAGAACCCGCACCACAGCAGUGACAAUGCUGGAUCCACAACCUGCUGAGCCUCCAGGGAACUCCUCAAAGACUUCAAGUGUGUGUUCACAGCUGUUCACCACCAGGCAAAUGAUCUGAAGAUGGGAACAUAAGAAAGGAAUGAAGAGAAGGAUUCGUUUAGAGAUUAUGGGCCUGAAGUCACAACCUGGCACUAUCCCAAGGAUUAAGCAGAAACCCAAUGACCCACAAACACCACACAAGGAUCAAAAAAAGCAGCUGUGAGAACUGCAGAGCCAUAGCUGAGAACGAUGCUUAAUGCCUUAAAUUUUGAUCACAUUAAGCUAGGAGUCUGAUAGAAGUGUGUGUUUGGGGGCUUGUUAAAAAAGAAAUGUCAGGCUCUGUAUGGAGUCUCUUGUGCUAAGCCCCACGUCAUCAAACCAAGACUUAAUACUUAACCUAACUGCGGUGACAACCUCCCCCAGAAAUGCUGUCUUCACUGGUCAGUCUGGCAUUUUCUGGUCAGCACAGGUAAGGUAAUCUGCCAUGUAGUCCACUUCAGUCCCUGACAGGUGGGUUACCUAGGCCUGAAAAGUCUGCUCUUUCCCCUCUCCUGCCACAGCAGCCUUCCAUGCUGUAUAGCUCCCUGGAGCUCUUUGCUACUUACUAGAUGGGAUGCUGCCCAAUUUAUGAAUCAUUUGAUAAAGCCAACUGGAUCUUUAAAAUUUACUCGAUUGAAUAUUUUUUCUUAGAGUAUAGUUGAUUUACAUUGUUGUAUCAAUUUCUGCUGUACAGCAUAGUGACCCGGUCAUAUAUAUAUAUUCUUUUUCUCAUACUAUCUUUCACCAUGUUCUAUCCCAAGAGACUGGAUAGAGUGCCCUGUGCUGUACAGCAGGGCCUCUUGGCUUACCCACUCUAAAUGUAAUAGUUUGAAUCUACCAACCCCAAACUCCCAGUCCAUCCCACUCCCUCUCCCCUCUCCUCAGCAACCACAAGUCUGUUCUCUAUGUCUCUGAGUCUGUUCCUGUUUCAUAGAUAGGUUUAUUUGCACCAUAUUUUAGAUUCCUCAGGUAAGUGCUACUGAAUCUUAAUACUUGCACUUCCUCUCUGUGCACGCCUCACCCACACGGCUGGCAUACAUCUGCCUGAGUGUUUGGGUUCAUUCUGUCUUCCUAGUCUAUAACUUCCCUCUCCUCUCCAGAUAUCAAGCUCUUACCAAUUCAGCCAGGGCCAUGUGACCCCUAUCCCCUUUGUGAAGCUUCCUGGUCAUUCACAGACACCACUCCUUCUGAAUGCUUGUAGGGACUGCUGUCUGCAAACUUGGCACUGCUUGGUUAUGAGAUCGUUUUUCAUGUUAUGUCUUACCUUCCUCUGUUAGUCUAUAAGUUCCUUGAAGAUAAGGACCAUUUUUUUUGUUUUUUAUUUUAUUCCACCAUGUGUAUAUUCAUAUAUACCAUACAUAGUGCUAAGUAAAUAUUUGUGACUCAAUCCUUUAAACGGGCUAAAGAACAUAUGAUUAGGAAUAAACCUAAGUAACGAAAUCUGAAUUCAGAUACAACAUGAACAUUUCUGCUUCUGGAACUUAAGAUUGUGUGUGUGUGUGCGUGUGUGUGUCACACAGAGAGGUAAAACAUUUAUAACUUAGGCAAAUAGCAUGAACUCCCUUUAUAUAAGAAGCCAUCCUACAUUUUACCAGAAGUGGUUUGAUUAGGCUUUAUUAGGUGAUCUUUUCAAGGAUUUCAAUCUAAAGAUUUAUUUUUACCAAAAAUUAGUAAUAAGAAAAAGAAUUUAUUAAUAAAUGAUACUGGUAGUUUGGUUAAUAAUGAGGAAAUUCUUUAUUCUACACACUAAAAUAAAGUUCAGAUAGUCUCAGCAGUUAAAUUUUUUUAAACUAGAAAAAAAAAUUCAAUAAACCUAAGAGAAGAUAUUUCCUAAAUUUAAAACACUAGAAAUUACUAAGGGGAAAAAUUCUCCCAGAUUUAAUUAUAAAAAAUUUUAAGAUUUUGUUAUAAGCUUUGGCAUAGAAAAGUAAACCAUAUAUUUUUUUUUUUUUUAAAAAAGGACAAUCUACAGAAUGGGACAAAAUAGUUGCAAAUGAUGCAACUGACAGGGCUUAAUCUCUGAAAUAUAUAAAAACUUAUACAACUCAAUGACAAAAAAACAAACAACCCAAAUGAAAAAUGGGCAGAAGACCUAAAUAGACAUUUCUCCAAAGAAGACAGACAGAUGGCCAAAAAUCACAUGAAAAGAUGCUUAACAUCACCCAUUAUUAGAGCAAUGGAGAUCAAAACUACAAUGAGGUACCACCUCACACUGGUCAGAAUAGGCAUCAUUAACAAGUCUACAAACAGUAAAUUCUGGAGAGGGUGUGGAGAAAAGGGAACACUCUACACUGUUGGUGGGAAUGUAAGCUGAUGCAACCACUAUGGAAAACAGUAUGGAGGUUCCGUAGAACUAUCACAUGGUCCAGCAAUACAACUCCUGGGCAUAUACCCGGACAAAACUACAAUUCAAAAGAUGCAUACCCCUAUAUUCACAGCAGCACUAUUCACAAUACCCAAUGCAUGGAAGCAACCCGAAUGUCCUUUGACAGAUGAAUGGAUUAAGAUGUGGUACAUGUACACAAUACUACUCAGCCAUAAAAAAGAGCAAAA